rnacentral:rRNA from 1 species
AUUGAACGCUGGCGGCAUGCCUUACACAUGCAAGUCGAACGGUAACAGGUCUUCGGAUGCUGACGAGUGGCGAACGGGUGAGUAAUACGUCGGAACGUGCCCGAUCGUGGGGGAUAACGAGGCGAAAGCUUUGCUAAUACCGCAUACGAUCUACGGAUGAAAGCGGGGGAUCUUCGGACCUCGCGCGGACGGAGCGGCCGAUGGCAGAUUAGGUAGUUGGUGGGAUAAAAGCUUACCAAGCCGACGAUCUGUAGCUGGUCUGAGAGGAUGAUCAGCCACACUGGGACUGAGACACGGCCCAGACUCCUACGGGAGGCAGCAGUGGGGAAUUUUGGACAAUGGGCGAAAGCCUGAUCCAGCCAUGCCGCGUGCAGGAUGAAGGCCUUUGGGUUGUAAACUGCUUUUGUACGGAACGAAAAGCCUCUUUCUAAUAAAGAGGGGUCAUGACGGUACCGUAAGAAUAAGCACCGGCUAACUACGUG